GACGAACCGUGCGAACGUUGUUCGGAAUCACUGGGCUUAAAGGGCGCGUAGGCGGGCCACCAAGUCCGGGGUGAAAUCUUUCGGCUCAACCGGAAAAGGGCCUCGGAUACUGGUGGCCUCGAGGAAGGUAGGGCAUGCGGAACUUCCGGUGGAGCGGUGAAAUGCGUUGAUAUCGGAAGGAACGCCGGUGGCGAAAGCGGCGUGCUGGACCUUUGCUGACGCUGAUGCGCGAAAGCGUGGGGAGCGAACAGG
rnacentral:rRNA from 1 species